rnacentral:tRNA from 1 species
ACAGAUAUGAUGAAAUUGGUAAACAUGUAUGAUUUAGAAUCAUAAUUUUAAGGGUUCAAUUCCCUUUAUCUGUA